rnacentral:rRNA from 1 species
GCAGUCGAACGGCAGCGCGGACUUCGGUCUGGCGGCGAGUGGCGAACGGGGUGAGUAAUACAUCGGAACGUACCCUGUUGUGGGGGGUAACUAUUUCGAAAGAUUAGCUAAUACCGCAUACGACCUGAGGGUGAAAGCGGGGGACCGUAAGGCCUCGCGCAGCAGGAGCGGCCGAUGUCUGAUUAGCUAGUUGGUGGGGUAAAGGCCCACCAAGGCGACGAUCAGUAGCUGGUCUGAGAGGACGAUCAGCCACACUGGGACUGAGACACGGCCCAGACUCCUACGGGAGGCAGCAGUGGGGAAUUUUGGACAAUGGGGGCAACCCUGAUCCAGCAAUGCCGCGUGUGUGAAGAAGGCCUUCGGGUUGUAAAGCACUUUUGUCCGGAAAGAAAACGUUCUGGUUAAUACCUGGGGCGGAUGACGGUACCGGAAGAAUAAGCACCGGCUAACUACGUGCCAGCAGCCGCGGUAAUACGUAGGGUGCGAGCGUUAAUCGGAAUUACUGGGCGUAAAGCGUGCGCAGGCGGUUUUGUAAGACAGGCGUGAAAUCCCCGAGCUCAACUUGGGAAUUGCGCUUGUGACUGCAAGGCUAGAGUAUGUCAGAGGGGGGUAGAAUUCCACGUGUAGCAGUGAAAUGCGUAGAGAUGUGGAGGAAUACCGAUGGCGAAGGCAGCCCCCUGGGACAUCACUGACGCUCAUGCACGAAAGCGUGGGGAGCAAACAGGAUUAGAUACCCCUGGUAGUCCACGCCCCUAAACGAUGUCUACUAGUUGCCGGGU